UGCUAUCAGAGUGGGACUAAGCCAUGCGAGUCGACACAGCAAUGUGUGGCAUACGGCUCAGUAACACGUAGUCAACAUGCCCAGGGGACGUGGAUAACCUCGGGAAACUGAGGAUAAACCGCGAUAGGUCACUACUUCUGGAAUGGGUAAUGACCCAAACCUAUAUGGCCCCUGGAUUGGACUGCGGCCGAUCAGGCUGUUGGUGCGGUAAUGGCCCACCAAACCUGUAACCGGUACGGGUCUGAGAGGAGGAGCCCGGAGAUGGGCACUGAGACAAGGGCCCAGGCCCUAUGGGGCGCAGCAGGCGCGAAACCUCUGCAAUAGGCGAAAGCUUGACAGGGUUAUNCUGAGUGUUUCCGUUAAAGGAGUCUUUCGGCACCUCUAAAA
rnacentral:rRNA from 1 species